AAUCUCAGAUCAGCGCGGAAAUUGAGCUGUUGCCCACUAAUGACAAAAAGAAGUGGGCUCGCCCACCUAUCUCCAUGAACUUUGAGGUACCUUUUGCUCCAUCAGGACUGAAAGUGCGUUACCUGAAGGUCUUCGAGUCGAAGCUCAACUACAGCGAUCAUGAUGUCAUCAAAUGGGUGCGUUACAUCGGUCGCAGUGGCAUCUAUGAGACCCGCUGCUAACAGCAGCCCUCCUGUGAGGAGGGGGGAGAGACGCAGACGAAUAAAUGGGUGGGAUGAACAGAGGACGAAGAGAAUGGCGUUAUUCAUUGUCUCGCUCUCCCCUCCCUUCCUCAACUUUUUAUACGGGGCUCUGUUCACACUGAAAACAUCAACAAAGGGAAACCCAAAAAGAACAUCCAAAACCUCAUGAAUUAAAACAAAUGUGCCCUUCA